rnacentral:rRNA from 1 species
UACAGAGGGUGCAAGCGUUGUUCGGAAUUAUUGGGCGUAAAGGGAGUGUAGGCGGCUUUUUAAGUCUUCUGUGAAAGCUGCGGGCUUAGCCUGCAAAGUGCAGAGGAAACUGGGAAGCUUGAGUGUCGGAGAGGAUAGGGGAAUACCCGGUGUAGAGGUGAAAUUCGUAGAGAUCGGGUGGAACACCAGUGGCGAAGGCGCCUGUCUGGCUGACAACUGACGCUGAGACUCGAAAGCAUGGGGAGCAAACAGG